AAUCUAUUUAGUUUUUUAAUUAUUUCAAAAAAAGUAAAAUUCAAAUUUUAAUGAAUCUAUUUUCUAGUUAUGUACUGUGUCAUGGUUAUAAAUGUUCUUUGUUCUGCAACCAGCUUUUUCCUUUGUCUGACGGUCUCAACAUUUACAGAUGUACUGUAAUCAAAGUAACAUACAACUAAUUAUUAAUAGGAGAGAUUAAUACGAAGGAGUAAAUAAUCGAAGCAAUACAACUAAUUGUAGUGUCUCGACAACCAACGUUUUAAUAAGGUAUAAUGGAUUAUGAUAGUGGUAUGUCAGAUGUUGGAGAGCAAAGCGCUCAUGCUGCUGUUAGGUUUUAUGUAGAUAAUGCCAAUGUGAAAUUUGUGCCUGUAAAGCAUAUUCAGUAUUAUAAUCCAGGUCAAAAAAAUGUUCCUUAUGAUGCCUAUGUUUUAAAUGGCAAAAACGCAAAAGGCAAAACUAUUUAUGAGCCAGCAGCAAUCCUAAGAAUUGCAGAUGAUAAAGACACAUUGGAAGCUAUUCAAAAAAGGUGGCCAAAGCCAAAUAAAAGACUUAGUGUCGUUGUCCGGGAAUUGGCUCAAAAACAGCAGGAUACAAAAUCAACGAAAUUGACGAAUGUCAAAGAAAAAGGAAAGGGCAAGAAAGGGCUAUCUGAAGAGCUAUCAAACAAGACUAGAAAUGUACCUCCCUCAGUAUCAGAUGCACUAUCAUACAUGAAUGAUAAGGUAAAUAUACUGCACAAUAAAUCAGAUUUUGAUGAAGAUGAUAAAAAGACAAAUUUAGGUAAAGAUGAGAUAAUAAAUAAUUUGAAAAAACAUUUAGAAGCAUUACAAAAUAAAUGUUCACUUGAAAUAAAUGCAUACUCCUAUUAUUUCUUCUUGCAAUCACUCAGCCAAAACUCCAUCUACAUCAAAUACUAACAAGAACAAAAAAGCUUCCACUUUUCAAAAUGCUGAAACUCCACCUUCUACUCAUAGUGAUGAAAAUUUGAAAACUCCUUCGUCAGUACAGUAUUCUAAAAAACAUCCUAUUCAACCAUGCAACAUUUUUUUAAAUAAUAUAAUGGAUGGAUCUUCUUCUGAAGUCAAUUAUAGAAACAUCAGAAGACCAAUUAGGCAGUUACAGCAUCUAUCUCCAGAUAUAUCUAAAAUGAAACACUGUAUAUCUACAUAUUCAUGUGGUAAAAGAAUUUUACACACACAAAUUACGCCAUCGACAAGCAGAGUUUCUACUGACCAUGAACAUGUAACACCUAUAGCAUCAACAAGUAGAGUUGAAAAAGAACGUACAAAUUUUGAAAGCAAAAGUGAAAGAAAAAAAGAAAUUAACCAACGAUCAAGAUGAAAUUAUUUUGAAGAAAAAAAAAGAAAUUAACUUUUAAAGAAAGAGCUAUUGUCGAAAAAAAAAGAAAUAAAAGAAACGAAAAAAGUGAAAGGAAAGAAACAAAUGAAGCCGUAAACAAAAAAUCAUUGAAGAAGAUUAAGAACAAAAAAAAGAAAUACCAAAGAAAAUUAAAAUCUGUGCUCUACGAUAGUGACGAUUACAUGUAAUCAGACUGUGAUUUAAAAAGACCAAGGUUAACCGCUUGGACCCAAGAACAAAGAGAUGAUAAGCCAGCGAAAAAAAUGUUUCAUUUACAUUUUGGAGUUUCUGUGCCUGAUAAGGCUUGGAAAAAAGCCAAACGGGCCAAAACCGACUAUAAGUUUAUGAGGGAACUGAUACCUCAUCUUUGGGAACCCGAAGAAUUCAUUCUUUUAGCUAUACAAGUUAAGCGCACACAGAAUGCCGAUAACCGGAUUUCUGUUGAUCCUAAAAAAUUUGAGGCAUUAAAACGUGGAUACAUUCAAUUUCUAAUGGAGCAUGGAAGAAUUUGGAAUGAAUGACUACUAAACAAAAGCUGGGAGAAAUACAGAAAUUCGGAAGAAAACUGGGAAUUCUCAUUGCGCAGGACAGACAAGCUUAUUUGAAUAAUUCUGAGGAAUUUCGUAAAGCAAAGUAUUGUGAUAAAAUUCUAACUGAGGCUGAUGAAGAUGAAGACGAAGGAGAGGAUGAUGAUUUUGAGACAUAUGAUGAAGAUGAGGAUGAAGGUGAUAUUUUUGAGAGAGAUGAAGAUCAAUAUGCUUUUAAUAGAGUCGAAGAAGAUGAAGAUGAAUACCCGGUAGGAGAUGAUGAUUUUGAGAAUGAAACAGGUUUAUCUGAGGGGGAUCAAUGAAUCGUAAAUUAAAACCGUUCUAUUACCAUUUUUUUAUGUUCAAGAUGUUAAGAUGUUCCUAUUACUAUUUUAAGAACUUUAAAAAUUACCGUAUUUAUUUUAGUGUUUUACUUUUUGUACUAUAAUUGCUUUUAAAGUUUAAUAAUAAUUUAAAAAAUAUUAUUUUACGAUGUAGGAAUGAUGAUUAUGAAUAUUUUUUUUUAAAGUGUAAAAUUAUUGAUAUCAUACACUUUCAUGUAUACUAUGUGACAUAUAAACCAUCAUAAUGUAAAAAUA